rfam:Schistosoma mansoni strain Puerto Rico chromosome W, complete genome
AUCCAUCUGACGAAUCCCGAAUAGGACGAAACGUGCAUCCUGGAU